UGGGGAAUUUUGGACAAUGGGGGAAACCCUGAUCCAGCCAUCCCGCGUGUGCGAUGAAGGCCUUCGGGUUGUAAAGCACUUUUGGCAGGAAAGAAACGUCAUGGGUUAAUACCCCGUGAAACUGACGGUACCUGCAGAAUAAGCACCGGCUAACUACGUGCCAGCAGCCGCGGUAAUACGUAGGGUGCAAGCGUUAAUCGGAAUUACUGGGCGUAAAGCGUGCGCAGGCGGUUCGGAAAGAAAGAUGUGAAAUCCCAGAGCUCAACUUUGGAACUGCAUUUUUAACUACCGGGCUAGAGUGUGUCAGGGGGAGGUGGAAUUCCGCGUGUAGCAGUGAAAUGCGUAGAUAUGCGGAGGAACACCGGUGGCGAAGGCAGCCUCCUGGGAUAACACUGACGCUCAUGCACGAAAGCGUGGGGAGCAAACAGG
rnacentral:rRNA from 1 species